UACAGAGGGUGCGAGCGUUGUCCGGAAUCACUGGGCGUAAAGGGCGCGUAGGUGGUGGUUUAAGCGUGCGGUGAAAGCUCGGAGCUCAACUCCGAGUCGGCCGUGCGAACUGGGCUCACUGGAGCAUAGUAGAGGCAGGUGGAAUUCCGGGUGUAGCGGUGGAAUGCGUAGAGAUCCGGAAGAACACCGGUGGCGAAGGCGAGUCCCUGGACAACUUCUGACGCUGAGGCACGAAAGCUAGGGGAGCAAACAGG
rnacentral:rRNA from 1 species